GUAGGAGGGGUGUUGGCUGCCGAUCGUCUCCUGGAUCCGGUUACGUAGACAGAACACCUGGUGGGAGAGAAAUGUUUAUCACGUGCUGACUUAUGCUGGUUAUUAAUGGACCCCCCGACUAUGGACCAUAUACCAUGUGCCAAACUCACUAUUUUCCCUUCUGUUCUCAAGCCAUUUCCUCCUGGUUCGUUUUGAUAGUUUCCCAAACAGAAACAUUUUCCCUAAACACCGACAACCCCCUUGGCUCAUUAUCUACAAAGAAACCACAGACUUAAGUGCUCUCUCUGUGUGGCCGCCGCUCGUAUAACUGAACGCCAUGUGCUGAAGAAAAAGGCAGCCAUCAUGUCGCAUGAACGCAGGCAGCGGGACCUGGUCGUCAAGUGUCUGGAACUUUAAGUCAAACACUCAACCACACGAACACCGGUGAAAUCAUAAGAAUGCCUGCUUCUUUCCGCGACAAGCCAGGAGAACGAUGUUCGGUAGGUUUGUUCACACAAACAAGUUGAAAAAAGGCUACCUAUGACCCCGGGGAGCCAUUCGUCUGUUUGUUCGUUUUGGAACUCCCGAAAUUGACUGACUGCUACCACUGAAUCUCUGGAACGGAUUUGGGCAGACGCCUCGAGUGCGGUCGGUCAAAACUUUACCCCAGUGGCGCUAUUUGGAUAACUUGGGUGCUCAUAUCCACGCUAUCUGGGGAUAUAAUAUUUGUGGGGGUCCUGUAUGUCUUAUAUGUAUUUUUAAUAUUUUAUGUUUUCAUGCUUGGUCAUUCUGACACAGAAAUCCAUGGGCGUGUUGUGGGUGUGUUUUACGGUAUCCUUGCUGUGUGUAUGUGGGUUAUCUGGCCAUAAUAAAACCAGUCUAGGCUGAUGUUUGGGGAACUCGGGGCUGUAAUCAUUAUUUCACUUGGGACUCGGGAGAUUUACAACAGAUAUACUCAGUCGGAGUAUAGGGGAUCCAUUUCAAUCACUGUUUCUAGUAAAUUGCAAAGAAUUCUUCUACAUAAUUUUUUUUACAUGAAUUUUGCAGUUCAUCGUUCAUUACAUUUUACUGUUUAGUGAGUAAAUUCCACCAUGGAUGAACGCCCCAAUAAACGCUUAGGAAAUGUAGAGCAGUAAUGCACAG